rnacentral:misc_RNA from 1 species
AAGUCGUAACAAGGUUUCCGUAGGUGAACCUGCGGAAGGAUCAUUAACACGUAUCCACGUAUCAACCAAUGAGAACCUGUUUUCCCGUCUCCCUGUGCAAAGAAUGAAUUGGAACCAGUUUGAGGGAGUGAUGGGACCGAAAGGUCGGCCUUCCUGGUAUACUUACGUAAAUAGAAAUGUUUGCGUAGACAAUUGUAUUUUUGUUACAGGCUAUUUCUUAUCGCUUUGAUCCCCAUCAUGAUUGUGGCGGUAGGGAAACUUUCACUAAAUUUACCUUUUUUGCUAGUUGACUUUUUAUAUGUGUUGUCUUGCGAAAGCAUGGUGGCACACGUUUAUUAAUUGAACGUUAAAAAAUACAACUCUUAGCAAUGGAUAUCUUGGUUCUC